AGAGUUUGAUCCUGGCUCAGAUUGAACGCUGGCGGAAUGCUUUACACAUGCAAGUCGAACGGCAGCACGGGGGCAACCCUGGUGGCGAGUGGCGAACGGGUGAGUAAUACAUCGGAACGUGCCCAGUCGUGGGGGAUAACGUAGCGAAAGCUACGCUAAUACCGCAUACGAACUCUGGUUGAAAGCGGGGGAUCGCAAGACCUCGCGCGAUUGGAGCGGCCGAUGGCAGAUUAGGUAGUUGGUGGGGUAAAGGCUCACCAAGCCGACGAUCUGUAGCUGGUCUGAGAGGACGACCAGCCACACUGGGACUGAGACACGGCCCAGACUCCUACGGGAGGCAGCAGUGGGGAAUUUUGGACAAUGGGCGCAAGCCUGAUCCAGCCAUUCCGCGUGCAGGAUGAAGGCCCUCGGGUUGUAAACUGCUUUUGUACGGAACGAAAAGGCCUGGGUUAAUACCUCGGGCUCAUGACG
rnacentral:rRNA from 1 species